rnacentral:rRNA from 1 species
CACAGAUCUCCGUUGGUGACCAGCGGAGGGACAUUACCGAGUUUACAACUCCCAAACCCAAUGUGAACGUUACCAAACUGUUGCCUCGGCGGGGUCACGCCCCGGGUGCGUCGCAGCCCCGGAACCAGGCGCCCGCCGGAGGAACCAACCAAACUCUUUCUGUAGUCCCCUCGCGGACGUAUUUCUUACAGCUCUGAGCAAAAAUUCAAAAUGAAUCAAAACUUUCAACAACGGAUCUCUUGGUUCUGGCAUCGAUGAAGAACGCAGCGAAAUGCGAUAAGUAAUGUGAAUUGCAGAAUUCAGUGAAUCAUCGAAUCUUUGAACGCACAUUGCGCCCGCCAGUAUUCUGGCGGGCAUGCCUGUCCGAGCGUCAUUUCAACCCUCGAACCCCUCCGGGGGAUCGGCGUUGGGGAUCGGGACCCCUCACACGGGUGCCGGCCCCGAAAUACAGUGGCGGUCUCGCCGCAGCCUCUCCUGCGCAGUAGUUUGCACAACUCGCACCGGGAGCGCGGCGCGUCCACGUCCGUAAAACACCCAACUUUCUGAAAUGUUGACCUCGGAUCAGGUAGGAAUACCCGCUGAACUUAAGCAUAUCAAUAAGCGGAGGA